AAAAUGCGAUAAGUAAUGUGAAUUGCAGAAUUCAGUGAAUCAUCGAAUCUUUGAACGCACAUUGCGCCCGCCAGUAUUCUGGCGGGCAUGCCUGUCUGAGCGUCAUUUCAACACUCGGGACCCCGUUCGCGGGACCCGGCGUUGGGGAUCAGCCCGAAGCCCCCCGGGGCGGGCGGCUGGCCCCGAAAUCUAGUGGCGGUCCCCCCAGCGACCUCCUCUGCGCAGUAGUAACUCACCUCGCAGCUGGACAGCGGGAGGGCCACGCCGUAAAACCCCCAACUUCUCAAAGGUUGACCUCAGAUCAGGUAGGAAUACCCGCUGAACUUAAGC
rnacentral:misc_RNA from 1 species